rnacentral:rRNA from 1 species
UACGUAGGGUGCAAGCGUUGUCCGGAAUUAUUGGGCGUAAAGAGCUCGUAGGCGGUUUGUUGCGUCGGCUGUGAAAUCCCGAGGCUCAACCUCGGGUCUGCAGUCGAUACGAGCAAACUAGAGUGUUGCAGGGGAGACUGGAAUUCCUGGUGUAGCGGUGAAAUGCGCAGAUAUCAGGAGGAACACCGGUGGCGAAGGCGGGUCACUGGACCGGUAUUGACGCUGAGGUGCGAAAGCGUGGGGAGCAAACAGG